UAUGGCAUCCUCGAAGACUUUUCUUCUUCUUGGCCUUGUGUGUGUUGUUCUCAUCCUCAUCGUCUCCGAGUCGUGCGCUAGCUGAAACUACUACUCAAAUUAAUCAGAAUGAUGCCUACGAGGGAGGUGGAGAUCAAGGUACCAAUGGAGGAGGUGGAACCAACAAUGGAGGAAAAGGUGUUUCGGGACGUGAGCACCACCCCAACAAAGGAUAGAGUCGAGAUUAUGGCCACAAUGAAAAACCAGGACCUGAAACUGCUGAGACUGAAACAAAGAAUUAGAUAACGUGUGGUCCUCAUAGUACUACUAUCUUUUUAUGUCAAUAAAAAGGUCAUUUGGUUGAGUUGUCUAAUGAACUCUCAAUCAUAAGCCUGCCUUUAAUUAAGGUUUAUCUAUGUACUCUACAUAAUGAUCAUAGUGUCAAAAUGUCUAGCAAUUCAAGUUUAGGUUGUUUGUGUGCUGAUU